rnacentral:rRNA from 1 species
AGAGAAUAGAUACCCAGGUAGUCCACGCCCUAAACGAUGGAUACUAGGCGUAGGAGGUAUCGACCCCUCCUGUGCCGCAGCAAACGCAUUAAGUAUCCCGCCUGGGGAGUACGGCCGCAAGGUUGAAACUCAAAUGAAUUGACGGGGACCCGCACAAGCGGUGGAGCAUGUGGAUUAAUUCGAUACUAACCGAAGAACCUUACCCACUCUUGACAUUGAAGGAAAGCUCUAGAGAUAGGGCCCUCUCCCACAAGGAGACCUGAAAACAGAUGUUGCAUGGCUGUCGUCAGCUCGUGCCGUGAGGUGUACGGUUAAGUCCGCCAACGAGCGCAACCCUCGUUCUGUGUUACCAGCGAGUAAAGUCGGGCACUCACAGGAGACCGCCGGUGUAAGCCGGAGGAAGGUGGGGAUGAUGUCAAGUCAGCAUGGCUCUUACGAGUGGGGCUUCACACAUGCUACAAUGGGCGCAACAAAGGGCCGCGAUACCGUGAGGUGGAGCAAAUCCCAAAAUACGUCCUCAGUUCAGAUUGC